rnacentral:rRNA from 1 species
UACAGAGACCUCAAGCGUUAUCCGGAAUCAUUGGGCGUAAAGCGUACCGAUCGGUGGUUUUACAAGUCAGAAGUGAAAUCUCUCAGCUUAACUGGGAGACUGUCUUUUGAAACUGUAAAACUAGAAGGGCAAAGAGGAAGCUGGAACAAACGGUGUAGUAGUGAAAUGCGUUGAUAUCGUUUGGAACACCAAUAGCGUAGGCAGGCUUCUGGGUGCCACUUGAUACUGCUAGGACGAAAGCGUGGGUAGCGAAUGGG